GCCCUCCUGGGACCUGCUGAGGACCAUCUGUGCGCGGAGAGCGUCCUGCUCUAGCGACUUCAUCCUGCGGAGACCAGCAAGGCUGGGUCAUCAGCACCCACCAGGGACACGCGCUUAGGGGGGCCCUCAGCCUGGGGCACGCGCACCUCCAGCUCAAAGAGCCUCCGCCUCCAGCCUGCACCCUCAGGCUGGGCAGCCCCCCAACAGCAGGCGAAGCUCACACACCACCACACUGGCCUGCUCGGGGCAGGAGGAACUGCAGAGGAAACCUGGCUGACCCCACGGUUCAGAGCAUCAGCUGCGGACCCAGUGAGCGGCGUGGAGACGCGUGGCUUCUCGGCCGCCAAGAUGCACAUGCUGAAGCCUGUGAGGACAUCACACCCAGCGUGGGGACAGUCACAGCAGGGAGGGCCUGUGCCCACCAGAAGCAUCAAGGUCUGAGGAAUCAGCGAAGACAGAGGCAGGCUCCGAUGGAAGGAGACUAGAGGGGUGCCGCGGCCAAACCCCACAGGGACCGGACCGUGCCCUUCCUCGACGGAGCACGUCCCUGGCACGGUGGCUGGGCCAGGAACAGGGCUGCGUGUCACACGUUCUU